UAUGGUAUAAACCUCUCUUGAAUGAAUCUCAAAAAUCUUAUCAUUAUCCCCUAAUCCAAUAGAUGUAAUCAAUUCCAAUGAAUCUUCCAGUCCAUUUUCUUCAUAAACACCUAAAAUCCUCUCAUCAUCUUGUAAUGUACCUAACUUGCCUAAUUCUCUUUCAAUAUUAUAUAAUUUUUUUCUUUCUUUUCUUUUAAAAUCAUUAACUUUCUUAUACAUAAUAUUUCCAUUCUUCAAAAUACCA
rnacentral:lncRNA from 1 species